rnacentral:lncRNA from 1 species
CUUAGGGAACAAGCAUUAAACUGACACUCGAGUCUGUAGCCGGCUGUGCCAAAAGACUUGAAGUUGGGGUGAUAUGGGAGCAGGGGUCCGGGAAGAAAGCGUUCUGGUUUUAGACCCACAGGAAGAUCUGUGAAGCGCUCUUGGGUAGAGCACAUGUUGCCGGGCGUGCCCUUGAAAACAGCCUAAGAAGAGGGGGCGUCUGGAAGGAACGGCAACGCCAAGGGAGGGUGUCCAGCCUUCCCGCUUCAACACCUGGACACAUUCCGGAAAGUUUCCUAAGAAAGCCAGAAAAAUAAUAAAAAAUAAUAAUCCAGAGGCCAGGGGGCGCUAAUGGGGCUUUACUGGGACUAUCUGGCUUAAUCCUCCAAACAACCCUGCCACAGCAGCCCAUCAGUCCUCUGAGACAG